CUAUUAUGAGUCCAAACCUUAAAA
rnacentral:snRNA from 1 species